rnacentral:rRNA from 1 species
CCUACGGGAGGCAGCAGUGAGGAAUAUUGGUCAAUGGGCGCGAGCCUGAACCAGCCAAGUAGCGUGAAGGAUGACUGCCCUACGGGUUGUAAACUUCUUUUAUAAAGGAAUAAAGUGAGGCACGUGUGCCUUUUUGUAUGUACUUUAUGAAUAAGGAUCGGCUAACUCCGUGCCAGCAGCCGCGGUAAUACGGAGGAUCCGAGCGUUAUCCGGAUUUAUUGGGUUUAAAGGGAGCGUAGAUGGGUGGUUAAGUCAGUUGUGAAAUUUUGCGGCUCAACCUUAAAAUUGCAACUGAUACUGGUAGUCUUGAGUAUAGUUGAGGUAGGCGGAAUUCGUGGUGUAGCGGUGAAAUGCUUAGAGAUCACGCAGAACUCCGAUUGCGAAGGCAGCUUACUAAGCUGCCACUGACAUUGAUGCUCGAAAGUGUGGGGAUCAAACAGGAUUAGAUACCCUAGUAGUC